rfam:Schistosoma haematobium scaffold770_24, whole genome shotgun sequence.
GCACUGCUGAGGAGUCCCACAAUGGGACGAAACGGCCGCCCAGUGC